AAGGAAUAUUACGGAAACCUACACACGCGUCGAAACUUUGUUUAGUUUUGAGAGAUUUAACUCUCAAAACUUGUUCUUUGAAAACUAGAUAAUAUCAAAUAUAUUUUUUCAUAAUGAAACCGAGAACGCCGCGUUUUUUGAGUUUUUUAUUGAAGUUUAAUUAUCGCUAAACUCAUUAAUCGCAUUUACCGUUAGGUAAAUGAGGUU
rnacentral:misc_RNA from 1 species